CGGCAUGCGUUUGUGCACAAUCCGCAUCUUUCUAUCCAUCUUAUGAUGCGUUUUCCUCUGAAGCUGUGAAACGGUUGCCAAAUGGACUGGAAUAUUUUACUGGCUUUGCUUGCUUGCACUUAAACAUACACACCUUUGGGUUGUAUGAGUCCUGUAUAGCCUGAUUUGUGUAAAAGUAGAUGGUCGAGCUAGCUGUGGCCACACGUCCUCACUAGCGAUUCUUAGAUUAAAAGCGGUUGAUGAAGCUCUUAUACACCUCGAAAUUGAUUAACGCAUGAUACAAAAGUAAGCAAGUCCUUGGCUUACAGAGCAUUAAUAUGUGCCAUUGGAUGUCCUUGGUUGGGAUCUUCGUAGGCUAGAAACCCGCUUUUGUUGACGAUAUAGGGCGGUAUUGAUUCCGAGCCAAUCCAACGGAAUAUAUGCCUAUGAUGAAAAAUGAAUCGUCAGUCCACCGAAGCUUCUUCUGUCUGCUGUUGCGGGGCUGCAGGAAAUCAAUGCAAAUGCGCAGAGAUUGCCCUGCAAAACAGCAAACAGAUUUAUACCCUGAGCCAAAUCGUUGUUGACGUUAAAAUGCAAAACGAGGAGAUUAUUAAGUGGCAGAGUCAACACGAGCAAAAUCCUGUUCCGCAAGAAACGCCCGAAAUUACACCACAUACGCAAGAAAGUGAGGGAAUUAUUGCGUUAAUUGCAUCGAAAAAGGAGUUAGGUGAUUUUGAGCAGAAUCUAGGUUCAGAGGAUCAGUUUGAGGAGGUGAAGCGUAAAUUGCGGGCCAAAAUGAAGGCAACAGAAACAAAAGCGCGACUUCACGAGGCCUUAUAUCUUAUUUUCAAUCGAUUAUUUUUGGUUGAAUGUAGCUGGAGCGGAAGAGGAGGUAAUGGACCAAAAGUAGCCUUCCGAAAACAUGUAAAUUUAUUGCGUUUAUUUGCAGAUGUAGGAAAUGUAGGUAGCCGAAAAGUUGAUUUUGCGUUACUUGAAUUUUUUUUUCAAAUAAAACUACAAAAUGCAAAAAACAGUGCCAAUGUAUCAGGCGUAAUAAAAAGCGUUUCUCGUGGCUCAUUCACACGAAAGAGCAAAGGAGGUCCUAAGA